UACGUAGGGUGCAAGCGUUGUCCGGAAUUAUUGGGCGUAAAGAGCUCGUAGGCGGUCUGUUACGUCGGCUGUGAAAACCUGGGCUCAACCCGGGCCCUGCAGCCGAUACGGGCAGACUAGAAUUCGGUAGGGGAGACUGGAAUUCCUGGUGUAGCGGUGAAAUGCGCAGAUAUCAGGAGGAACACCGGUGGCGGAGGCGGCAUUCUGGACUGCAACUGACACUGAAAGACGAAGCCAGGGGAGCAAACGGG
rnacentral:rRNA from 1 species